GGUUUGUUGGUGUAGUUGGUUAUCACGUCUGCUUAACACGCAGAAGGUCGCCAGUUCGAACCUGGCACGAAUCA
rnacentral:tRNA from 1 species